GGUGACUUGUAUGAAGGAUUGGAUGAAAUAUAAACUGUCUUUUAAUUAAAAAUAGAAUUUAAUUUUUUAAUUAAAAAGUUAAAAUAAUUUAAAAAGACGAGAAGACCCUAUAGAGUUUUAUAAAUAAUUUAAUUAAGAUUAUUUGUAAGAAAUUGAAAUUAAAAUUAAUUUAUUUAUUAUAUUGGGGUGAUAAAAAAAUAAAUUUAACUUUUUUUUUUACAAGACAUUUAUAAGUGGUUAAAUGAUCCAGUAAUAUUGAUUAUAAGAAAAAAUUACCUUAGGGAUAACAGCGUAAUUUUUUUUUUUA
rnacentral:rRNA from 1 species